rnacentral:rRNA from 1 species
CAAAUAGACUACCCGGGUAGUCCACGCCGUAAACGACUGAUGCUAGGUGUUAGGGGUUUCGAUACACGUUGGUGCCGAAGUUAACACAUUAAGCAUUCCGCCUGGGGAGUACGGUCGCAAGACUGAAACUCAAAGGAAUUGACGGGGACCCGCACAAGCAGUGGAGUAUGUGGUUUAAUUCGAAGCAACGCGAAGAACCUUACCAGGUCUUGACAUCCCUCUGAAUCCACUAGAGAUAGUGGCGGCCUUCGGGACAGAGGAGACAGGUGGUGCAUGGUUGUCGUCAGCUCGUGUCGUGAGAUGUUGGGUUAAGUCCCGCAACGAGCGCAACCCUUGAUCUUAGUUGCCAGCAUUUCGGAUGGGCACUCUAGGAUGACUGCCGGUGACAAACCGGAGGAAGGUGGGGAUGACGUCAAAUCAUCAUGCCCCUUAUGACCUGGGCUACACACGUACUACAAUGGCCGAUACAACGGGGAGCGAAACCGCGAGGUGGAGCCAAUCCUAUCAAAGUCGGUCUCAGUUCGGAUUGCAGG